rnacentral:rRNA from 1 species
AGCAGCCGCGGUAAUUCCAGCUCCAAUAGCGUAUAUUAAAGUUGUUGCAGUUAAAAAGCUCGUAGUUGAAUUUCGGGGUUAGUAGAUUGGUCAUGCCUCUGGUAUGCACUGGUCUUACUGAUUCCUCCUUCCUGAUGAGCCGUAAUGCCAUUAAUUUGGUGUUGCGGGGAAACUGGACUGUUACUUUGAAAAAAUUAGAGUGUUUAAAGCAGGCUAACGCUUGAAUACAUUAGCAUGGAAUAAUGAAAUAGGACGUUCGAUCUUAUUUUGUUGGUUUCUAGGAUUGACGUAAUGAUUAAUAGGGAUAGUUGGGGGCGAUUAGUAUUCAAUUGUCAGAGGUGAAAUUCUUGGAUUUAUUGAAGACUAACUACUGCGAAAGCAUUUGUCCAAGGAUGUUUUCAUUAAUCAAGAACGAAAGUUAGGGGAUCGAAGACGAUCAGAUACCGUCGU